UACGGAAGGCAGCAGUGGGGAAUAUUGCACAAUGGGCGCAAGCCUGAUGCAGCCAUGCCGCGUGUAUGAAGAAGGCCUUCGGGUUGUAAAGUACUUUCAGUCGUGAGGAAGGUGUUAAGGUUAAUAACCUUAGCAAUUGACGUUAGCGACAGAAGAAGCACCGGCUAACUCCGUGCCAGCAGCCGCGGUAAUACGGAGGGUGCGAGCGUUAAUCGGAAUUACUGGGCGUAAAGGGCACGCAGGCGGUUAAUUAAGUUGGAUGUGAAAUCCCCGGGCUUAACCUGGGAAUGGCAUUCAAGACUGGUUAGCUAGAGUCUUGUAGAGGGGGUAGAAUUCCGAUGUGUAGCGGUGAAAUGCGUAGAGAUGUGGAGGAAUACCGGUGGCGAAGGCGGCCCCUGGGACAAAGGACUGACGCUCAUGUGCGAAAGCGUGGGGAGCGAAACAGGGAUUAGAUACC
rnacentral:rRNA from 1 species